AUCUUGUUUUAUUUCUUCAUGACUCUGAACUUCUGUGUUGUAACAUGUCAGAAAAGGACUAUGUCUUUGUUCUUAUUUUGGAUACUUCUGACAAGAAGCAUGUAUUCUUGUUUUCUGACUCUUUCUUUCAAAAAUGGUAAAAACAGAAAGAAACCCACAAAGCAGAGCAAUCCUUUCUUCUGUCUCCAAACUUUUUUCAGUUGAAGGAAGGGAAGGCCACAGUAAUGUGUUCAUGUGUUCCUUUUCUGUUUAUGGGUGUUGCUGCCAAGUAGCUGACCUCCCUGGAUACCGUAGUCUGUCCUUUGAGGGCUGACUCUGCUACAAAACAUCCUCUUCUGGAGGCUCCUGUCACCAUGCCUGUGACAGCCCAAUGGAAAAUGUGGAGUGGCACAUAUGGCCACUUAUUAGGGAAAGAGCAGCAGGCUUGUUGAGUGGAGAUCGCUCUCUGAAUUGGGGAAGGAAUGAAGUGAAUUUUGCGGGACCGUAAAGAUGAAGAUUUUUGGUGUUUUCAUUGAAGAUCACCUUCAUGUCUGUGUAACAUGAUCUUGGAAGAGAAAGAAGCUCAAGCAGUAGGGGGUACUCUUGAAACUUCACCUUUUUUUAGUGUUAGAGAUUCAUGACUGAAAUAUUCAGCAUUGCAUCCAUAUCUCAUCAGUUCAUUUCUGAGGGUUCCUUGGAUAUCCCAGCAGAAGAACUCAGUUCUUCUCUGAAGGCACAUCUCAGAGAUCAAUACCAAUCUGCUGAAAUCUUCCCCCUCUCCUUCUAUAUUGGGGCCAUCCUAAAAUACCAUAGUUCAAGCUCAAGAGUUCUGGUCACCAGAUGCAGGAAAACAAGGCUGUUAAACUUUCCAGGAGAGCUGAAGGACAUAGACUCAGUUCCCAGUGAAACCUAGAGGGAAGAACUGCAAGUUCUCCUCUCCCUGCAACAUUCUGAAACCUGGCAGUUCCUGAUUGUGGCUAAAAGAGAAAUAAAAGGGCAUUUAGUAUAUUCAACUUUGUACACCUAUACACUGUAAGUGAAGAUGUAUUGGACAUCAGUGUGUCAGAAGUUCUAGAAGUACUACAACUGGCUGGCAUGGGUGCUUCCACCAAGGAAACACCCGUGUUCCUACACACCUUGAGCCACCAAGCCUGGCUCUUCCCACAGCAGUGUGCUCCAAUGUCCCUCACUGCUUCUGCAGUACUGGGACGGGAGGGUAGGAGGUAGAUGGGACUUCUUGAGAAGGGAAGCACAAAGUCAGACUGUGAAUACAGGGGAAACUUUCUUGAAGCUUUAAAAUUCCCAACAUUGUGAAAUGGGAGAGGGGAAGCUGACAGGAUUUCCUGAGUAAAUGCCUCAUCAGUUGACUGUAAGCUAUUAUUUUUCCUUUCAAAGGUUUCCACUCUAGUUUUGCAUUUCCUGGUGAGAAUAGAGCAUAAAUUGAUCAAGUUAAAGAAAUCUGGCUAUCAGGCAAUUUGACAGGUUCUGCCUGUUAUUUCUGUCAGAGUCAGAGUCUUCCUGAUGUUGCCUCCCACUACUACUUUGUUUCUGGUGAUAAAAUUAAUAAAACCUAUAUGGUAAAUUUAUUGUCUCUGUUAGUUUCCAUCUGAUGUUUAUGAUUUUUACCUUUGUAUUCUGUGAUAAUACCAAAUCAAAAGUUAGUGUAAGUACAGGAGCAACCAAGCACCAAGCAUAUCUUUUUUUUUUAACGAGUGAAUUUGCAUCACAUCUUUCAUAAUAAGAUUCUUCUAAUCACUAGGAAUAUUGAAUCACUUGAAAUUAUGCUCAGAGUGAACCUGCCUUGAUGAUCCAUGUCCCAGUGGACUUGGUAGCUGUAGCAAAUAGGUUGCUGGUUGUACGUUGUAGAGGAGUCCUCCCAAAAUGUAGAGGAUGAAGUCAAAUGAACGUGUCUUCUGAACUGGAUAAGUUUCUAUCUUGCUGUUUUCACUUGUCCCUUAGAAAUCACAAGAUGGGGGUUUUCUUUGGGCAGCUCAACUGCCUCACACAAUCAUGGAAUUGUUAUCAGUGUGGCAGUAAGAGGUGUGCUGGGCCUCCAAACUGGAAACCUGGUCUUUAGGGAGCUGAACUGCUUCAUUAGAAGAGAUUCCCUGUGAACGAUGCAACAAUUCUCAUACGAAAUGUCUCCAUAGUAGUGAGAGGCUAUGGGAAGCAAGCCAGAAAAUGUGAAGGCUGGGUUACUAUAGGCCAGUUCUCUGUAAGAAUUAAGUAUUUGAUUUGAAUGUGAGAAGUGCUGGUUUCACUGUCAUCUUAAAAGCAGCAUAGGUAAUCCUCAGGAUAAUGAUUGUAUUCAUUCAUGUACACUUGCAUUUAUUUAUAUAUUUGAAAAGCAACCAAUUUUGGUUCACACUUGGCUUUUACAUUUAAUAUACUAUUUCUAGUAAAAGUAGGAAAGAAAACUUACUUGAAGUUGUGUUAUCUG